UAUAAAAAGGAAAGAGUUUCCCUCAAUUAGCACAGUCAGUUCAAACAAUCAACUGAAGCAAACUAAUCCAAAAUGAUGAAAUUCUUGAUCUUCGCUUUCCUCAUCGCCUUCGCUGUGGCCGCUGCUUACGCCAACCCUGAGCCAGCUCCUCGUCCAGCUCCUCUUCCAGUGCCACAACCACAGGGCGGUUAUGGAUACGGUGGUUAUGGCGGUUAUGGAGGAUAUGGUGGAUAUGGUGGAUAUGGUGGAUACUACUAAAACUCAACACUUUCCUUGCUACACUUCUUGUGUAACAAAUGGAUAUGGAUAUGAACCUGGAAUAACCCAUCGGAACUGUGGUACAGAUUCCAACACCCUAAUCUAACCACAGCAAGACUUGGUAUUGCCAAGAUUUUGUAGAUUAAUGAAAUCCAUAUAUUAAAAAGAUUUUUAACGGCAAAA